GAAUCACUGAAGUCUACUCCUAAAACCAAUACUGUACUGUAUCUUAACUAAAAUUUAAAUAUUAAAAAAAAGAAAGAAAAAAAAGAAAAGAAAAAACUGUCACCAAAUAUUGGGCUUUAAUGAAACUAGGGUGGUACCGACUCAGUGACAAUGUUAGAAUAAGGGAACAUAAGAGCAAUCUGAAAAAUGGUCCCCCCCCCCCAAAAUAAAAACUGCUUCUGUGAUAAAGGGGGUACUCCAGCUCAGCAGAGAGAAGGUAGGUUUUUGGUACAAUGGACCAUUUAUAAAAAGUUCAAGUGUCAUUAAAACCAUCUAAGAAAGCACGUUGACAUGCAUUUAAAAAUUAGAAAUUUAAAUAUGAAGUCAUAAGUGAACUUACAGAAAACAUAAAUUCUUCUAUUAUAUAUCAUAGGCUGAAGAUCUAUCUAAACACAAGACCAAUAAGAGAAAUUACAAAGAAAAAAAAAAAACGAGUGCUCAUCAGGAACUUAAUAUCAGGUUGUUGCUAAAGAAGAAGUGUCUCUUUUCCAAAGAAUAUUCCAUCUGCCAGAAUUUAUGUAACUCAACAACGACACAACCGAUGUGAAUUCUGUCGGGCUGCAAGAAUACCCGUUAACAACCACCAAAGCAUUAUCGGUCCUAACUGAGGCCUCCUCGGGGAAACAAGGUUUAGGCAGAAGUGGGUCCUCUGAAGCUCGCAUUUAGUCCACUGUCUAAACGGACUGAACUUUUAAGACUCUGGGGGCAGUUACCGUGUUGAUGGGUGCUGCUAAAAAUGAGACAGCCAAAGAACUCUUAGGGGAAAAAAAAAAUCACUGGAAUGUGUGCACCUGAGAAGACAAACUAAGUAUAUGCUGCUGGCCCAGAGGAGGAAUAAAUGAAGAAAUGAUGGUUCAAUAUUAUAAAUACUCUUAAACUUAUGAAAAGGCUGUGUUCUGACAGAGUACGUAUCUACUGCUUGGAUCUCAGAACACUACUUCUGCAUGAAAAUAAUGUCACACGUGAUUAGGUAAACAGGCCAGUCCAGGAGAGCCCCAAAUGUGACCGCUGUGGACAGUAGCACCACUGAAUCUGGCCACCAGGGGAAGCACAUUCAUGCACAAAUACAUCCGGAGCCGCAAGCCAGCAGCCGGCAGAGAAAGCAGGGCUCCCCCUCCCGGUCAGUCAGUGCUUUCCACAUCCCACCACCAGAGGAACAGUGGGACUCAGAGAAAAACACGCCUACGUGGUGUCCAGGGAGGAAGGGAGGGGAGGAGGACUGGGGCUGAGGGGCUAAUCUUUAGCUGGCUCCCCUGCAGGGUCAUCCCUGGUCAUUUCCUUUUCCUUCCUGAGUCCCAAAGACGGGCCUGCCCAGUGCAUGGUUAUUCCUAACCAGUUUCUCUUCACACCUUGGCUCCCUGUAAAACAGAAAGCAUUUCCA